CUCGUAGGCGGUUUGUCGCGUCUGCUGUGAAAAUCCAAGGCUCAACCUUGGACCUGCAGUGGGUACGGGCAGACUAGAGUGCGGUAGGGGAGAUGGGAAUUCCUGGUGUAGCGGUGGAAUGCGCAGAUAUCAGGAGGAACACCAAUGGCGAAGGCACAUCUCUGGGCCGUAACUGACGCUGAGGAGCGAAAGCGUGGGGAGCGAACA
rnacentral:rRNA from 1 species